CCUACGGGGGGCAGCAGUGAGGAAUAUUGGUCAAUGGGCGCGAGCCUGAACCAGCCAAGCCGCGUGAAGGAUGACGGCCCUACGGGUUGUAAACUUCUUUUAUAAAGGAAUAAAGUGAGGCACGUGUGCCUUUUUGUAUGUACUUUAUGAAUAAGGAUCGGCUAACUCCGUGCCAGCAGCCGCGGUAAUACGGAGGAUCCGAGCGUUAUCCGGAUUUAUUGGGUUUAAAGGGAGCGUAGAUGGGUUGUUAAGUCAGUGGUGAAAGUUUGCGGCUCAACCGUAAAAUUGCAAUUGAUACUGGCAGUCUUGAGUACAGUUGAGGUAGGCGGAAUUCGUGGUGUAGCGGUGAAAUGCUUAGAUAUCGCGAAGAACUCCGAUUGCGAAGGCAGCCUACUAACCUGCCACUGACAUUGAUGCUCGAAAGUGUGGGUAUCAAACAGGAUUAGAUACCCGGGUAGUC
rnacentral:rRNA from 1 species